UGAUGCUUCUCCCAGUCACCAGAUUCUUAUUAGUGGCACCUGUGCCUUGUUUAGACGAGCUUUUUAAGCCGGAGUCUUCAUAAACUGACUUUGUCUUCAAUGAUCUAAUUUGUCUUUGGCCAUGUUGGUGGUGGUGCAUUCUGGGAAUUGGAGUCGCUGGUUUGCUGUGAUUUGAUGGUAAGAAACAUCUAGACAGCAUGGCAUCACAAUAGUUCAACCAAGAGCCUUGUCUUGGAUCUUGGAGACAACUGGACAAAGCCUCCUGUCACGUUAUUCUCCUCGCUGCAUUCAGUGCGUAUUAACAGCCCGCAGCAUGAUUGCGCGCUCUUUCGGGUUUUCAUUGACCUUGACUUUACUUUUGACACGUGUGUGUUCUGUUAUGGUUUAUGUCCUGUCUCCGCCCCUGUAUUGUCAUUGGUUGAUUCCCUUACACGUCAUCAUUCUAAUCAGCUGUUUUGUUAUCCCCUUGAUUAUGUGUAUUAUUUAAAUUCCUUGUCUGUCUUUGUACAAAGGCGAAGUAUAUGUUCAGUUGCUGUUGUCUAUCUAUACCAAGCUGUUCUCUGUUAUAGUUUCUCUGGUUUUGAUUCUGUUUUGCCCUUGACUCUGAUUCUCUGCCUUACCUAUUCCAGUCUGUUUGCACUAUUCCCUGACCUUGCCUGUCUAAUGUUUUUGAUCUUUGCAUUACACUUUGGAUUGUUAUUCUCAUUAAAACUGGUUUACCUGCA
ensembl:lncRNA